GGGAGGGGGAGAAGCCCCCGCGGGUGAAGUAUGGCCCCAUACUUUACUCUGCGGUCGGCGAAGGCGUCUUAGGCAACUGGAAUCCUGGAAUAACAGGACUCGCGAUGCGCGGAGAGGGAGGGAGCGAGAGAGAGAGAGAGAGAGAGGGAGGGAGGGAGAGAGGGAAUACGAGGUGCGCGUACACGGGAGCGAAGCAUCGCGGAGGAACGAGAGAAGAGAGGAGAAGAGAAGGAGAGGAGACGAGUCCUAGAACGAGAUUGCCUGGAUCGGCGUCCCACGACGAAGAAAAAUUUCAUCCCUCUCUAAAGACGCGAAAGGGAAAGGAUCGAGGGAGAAAAAGUGAAUGAAGGUUGAUUCGAUACGUUGGAGCUGCAACGAGAUUACGUCUACGAUCGCAGUUUCUCGAUGUGCUCGAUGAUCGAGGAAAGGGUGUCAUCGGUUUGCCGCGUGGACGAAACGUCUUUGAAAAAAAUUGCGGCAACUUUUAAAAGUGUAAACUCGUACAUUUGCGUGAUAUUCAACGGUUGAUAUUCGAAAACGUUGGAAACUUACUGGUUCAUUUGUCAAGUGACUCGUGACGCUGCGGUUCGUUGAUAAUUUCAUUAACAAUGGCCUGUUCAUCCGUAGGGAUACGUUGUUAUCGAUCGAAUCACCAUGUUGGACCACCAUAAUGUUCCCGCGUUCUCUCCCCGUAACUUUAAUUACAUCGUUCGCUUAAUAUUACCCCCGAUCGAUUAAACCGCCUAAGAAAAACCUCGCCUCGCGACACGAUAUUGGACACUAUAAAUCGAAUAAAGCCCAAAUACAAAUCC